rnacentral:rRNA from 1 species
UACGGGGGGGGCAAGCGUUGUUCGGAAUUACUGGGCGUAAAGGGCUCGUAGGUGGCCAACUAAGUCAUACGUGAAAUCCCUCGGCUUAACCGGGGAACUGCGUCUGAUACUGGAUGGCUUGAGGUUGGGAGAGGGAUGCGGAAUUCCAGGUGUAGCGGUGAAAUGCGUAGAUAUCUGGAGGAACACCGGUGGCGAAGGCGGCAUCCUGGACCGAUAUUGACACUGAGGAGCGAAAGCCAGGGGAGCAAACGGG